CCGUAGCUCAGUUGGAUAGAGCAACAGAUUUCUAAUCUGUGGGUCUUGGGUUCGAAUCCCA
rnacentral:tRNA from 1 species